GUUUAAAAAGAAAUCUGGUGUAAAGCCACAGUAAAGUUAGCGCCUCGGAAAUGAAUCCGUAAUCAUAAGAACCGUACCAUAUUCUUCUGUUUCUAAGGUGCACUGGAUUCAUACAUAAUGACGUCAGACGCAGCAUAAAGAGAUGCGCAUGCUGACCCCAUCAUGUGGGAGACCAGACGAAGCGCAGAUAGCGCGAAACGGCCGUCGCCUGUAGCUGAGUGAGCGCCCGCACCAGCGACCAUGUUUUAAACUUGAAUAAACAAGCUGCAAAGAAAUCUGGGGAAUAUCGCAAGUUUAUUUCUUCUAUACAUCACAUAAGAAGCAAGUUAUACAUCAUUGAAUGGAAUGAAGAGUAAAUGCAAUGGUCAAGGUUUUUAACAGAUCAGAAGUGGGGGGGAUAUAUAUUGCAAUAUAUAAAUAUUAAGUCAAGAUCAACUGGAAUCCCCUUAAGCAGCAACUUUCGACACUCCAACUGCUGUGAAACUGCAACUCCCAGCAUGCACUCUUGUAACUCCCAUAGAAGUGAAUGGAGGAUUCUGGGAGUUGUAGUUUCAGAACAGCUGGAGUGCUAGAGGAUGCUGAUCCCUGCCCUACAGCAUCAUUUGUAUAGAAGAGCAUGACAUCCACAUUAAUGGAGAAGACAUGGA